rnacentral:rRNA from 1 species
CAGAGGUGGCAAGCGUUGUUCGGAAUUACUGGGCGUAAAGGGCGCGUAGGCGGCCUUCUAAGUCAGACGUGAAAUCCCCAGGCUUAACUUGGGAACUGCGUCUGAUACUGGGAGGCUUGAAUGCGGGAGAGGGAUGUGGAAUUCCAGGUGUAGCGGUGAAAUGCGUAGAUAUCUGGAGGAACACCGGUGGCGAAGGCGGCAUCCUGGACCGACAUUGACGCUGAGGCGCGAAAGCCAGGGGAGCAAACGGGAUUAGAUACCCCGGUAGUCCUGGCCCUAAACGAUGAGUGCUUGGUGUGGCGGGUAUCGAUCCCUGCCGUGCCGAAGCUAACGCAUUAAGCACUCCGCCUGGGAGUACGGUCGCAAGGCUG